GACAGAGGUGGCUAGCGUUGUUCGGAUUCAUUGGGUGUAAAGGGUGCGUAGGCGGUUUGGAAAGUCAGAUGUGAAAUCCUACAGCUCAACUGUAGAACUGCAUUUGAAACUCCCAGGCUAGAGUGCGAGAGAGGUGAAGGGAAUUCCCGGUGUAAGGGUGAAAUCUGCAGAGAUCGGGAAGAACACCAGUAGCGAAGGCGCUUCACUGGCUCGCAACUGACGCUGAGUGCACGAAGGCGUGGGGAGCAAACGGG
rnacentral:rRNA from 1 species